UGUGGUUAUUAUAGCAAAGAGGAUACACCUGUUACCAUUCCGAACACAGAAGUUAAGCUCUUUAGCGCCGAUGGUACUUGGUGGGAAGCUGCCUGGGAGAGUAGGACGUAGCCGCGU
rnacentral:rRNA from 2 species